rnacentral:lncRNA from 1 species
UUUGCGCCAAAACUAUAAAUGAAUUAUUUAGCAAUGAAAUCUUAUCCUUGCCAAAAAAUCAAAAUCUGUUUGCAAUGAAACUUAUUCAGUCACCAUAUAUAAAAAAGAUUAGUGAUGAAACUAAUUUGUCACCAAAAAACUCUAGAUUUUUUUUUUUCAUUUUUGCAUCCACAUAUAAACAUUUGGGAACAAUUCAUUUUGCUUUGCAAGUCUUGCAGCCAUGCACCAUAUUUUAAGACUUGUCAAAGUAAUGGGCCAAAUAAUGUAUUUUAUCUGUUGAUGCACCUUUUUUCCCCUUCACAACCAGCUUAAUGUGUUGCUAGUGGCCCUGCAAGAACUUCGGAAGAGGGAACAAUGUACACCAGCAGUGGUGCCAUACAUCUGUAAACAAACUGAAA